GACGUAGGGCGCGAGCGUUGUCCGGAUUUAUUGGGCGUAAAGAGCUCGUAGGCGGCUUGUUACGUCGACUGUGAAAACCCGCGGCUCAACCGUGUGGUCUGCAGUCGAUACGGGCAGGCUAGAAUUCGGUAGGGGAGACUGGAAUUCCUGGUGUAGCGGUGAAAUGCGUAGAGAUCGGGAGGAACACCCGUGGCGAAGGCGGCCAACUGGGCCGGACCUGACGCUGAGGCGCGAAGGCGUGGGGAGCGAACAGG
rnacentral:rRNA from 1 species